rnacentral:lncRNA from 13 species
UACAUGCAGAAAUACAAAGUUUAGAGGAGGAAUGCGCGUAUGAUUUGAAGAAAUUUCAAAAAAAAUUUGGGCUGUUGCGACGGAAAGUCUUCGAUAACUUAAGAACCGGGGAAAAAAUGAUUUUUCAAGAUAGAAGAUUGAAACGUGCUUUUAUUAAACAAAUUUACGUUAUUGAUGACAAAUACUCGGCUGAGUGUGCCAAACAAAUUGAUAAAUUACUUAAAAUUUUGUAAAAAUUUUAAUUUUUUAUUAUCUUUUUAUUAGUUAACUAGUUUAAUUCACGUGUUUUAUAAAUUAAUAAUAAACAUUAACGAAAAGACAGAUUCGCUCUUGAAUGCUUUUGUUUGAUUUCCUGUUCUCUACACAAUCAAUUGCGUAUAUCUUGAGCAAGAAAGAGGAUAACGAAUUUCUCGAUAAUCUUUCCGUCGUAAUUUGUGAUGUGAGUAACG